rnacentral:rRNA from 1 species
AACGAACGCUGGCGGCAUGCCUAACACAUGCAAGUCGAACGAGAUCUUCGGAUCUAGUGGCGCACGGGUGCGUAACGCGUGGGAAUCUGCCCCUUGCUUCGGAAUAACAGUGAGAAAUUACUGCUAAUACCGGAUGAUGUCUUCGGACCAAAGAUUUAUCGGCAAGGGAUGAGCCCGCGUAGGAUUAGGUAGUUGGUGGGGUAAUGGCCUACCAAGCCGACGAUCCUUAGCUGGUCUGAGAGGAUGAUCAGCCACACUGGGACUGAGACACGGCCCAGACUCCUACGGGAGGCAGCAGUGGGGAAUAUUGGACAAUGGGCGAAAGCCCGAUCCAGCAAUGCCGCGUGAGUGAUGAAGGCCUUAGGGUUGUAAAGCUCUUUUACCAGGGAUGAUAAUGACAGUACCUGGAGAAUAAGCUCCGGCUAACUCCGUG